rnacentral:rRNA from 1 species
GACGAACGCUGGCGGCGUGCCUAAUACAUGCAAGUCGAACGCAGUGGGGACGGUUGAGUAACACGUGGGUAACCUCCCCUCAGAGGGGAUAACAGUUGGAAACAGGUGCUAAACCGAUAUUGAUGGAGGGAGCCGCGGGGCAUGAGCUAGUUGGUGAGGUAACGGCUCACCAAGGCCACGAGGCAUAGCCGACCUGAGAGGGUGAUCGGCCACACUGGGACUGAGACACGGCCCAGACUCCUACGGGAGGCAGCAGUAGGGAAUCUUCGGCAAUGGACGAAAGUCUGACCGAGCAACGCCGCGUGAGUGAAGAAGGUUUUCGGAUCGUAAAACUCUGUUGUUAGAGAAGCGGUAUCUAACCAGAAAGCCACGGCUAACUACGUGCCAGCAGCCGCGGUAAUUC